CUGAGAUAAGAGCAAAAUUCACUGCUUAAGAAAUUAGGUCAACAUCAUCAUUGCUUCUCACAGCAGGAGACUGGCCAGUUUCCUCGGUUACUGCGAAAUCUGAUAUAUCAGGAUGGUCAGCAGGUGUGACCACUUCACAAUUUCGCAUUUGAGCAGCUUGGUGCACACGUAUUAUAUUUGUGAGAACAAAGGAAUUUGGAUAUACUGCUUCCCUAGACAAUAUAUGCAAAGAAUUUAUGCACAAUUGGAGGAGAAAAUGUAAAGUCCACUGUUAGAAGACUCUUAUCCUACCUUUUUGCCAAUGACCUUGCCUUUCGGAUCAAUUGGAAUCAAGGAUAUAGUAACCAGACUGUCCGAAAAAAACAAGGCAACAGUGGAAGCGAAAGACAGCGAAAUUUGCGCCAUUGUUAAAGAUUGGUUCCACUCUGCCAGU